UACGAAGGGGGCGAGCGUUGUUCGGAAUCACUGGGCGUAAAGAGCUCGUAGGCGGUUUGUCGCGUCUGCCGUGAAAGUCCGGGGCUCAACUCCGGAUCUGCGGUGGGUACGGGCAGACUAGAGUGAUGUAGGGGAGACUGGAAUUCCUGGUGUAGCGGUGAAAUGCGCAGAUAUCAGGAGGAACACCGAUGGCGAAGGCAGGUCUCUGGGCAUUAACUGACGCUGAGGAGCGAAAGCAUGGGGAGCGAACAGG
rnacentral:rRNA from 1 species